GUACUGAUGACGAGUCCUAAACGAGGACAAAACAGCUGUCCAGUAC
rfam:Trichobilharzia regenti genome assembly, scaffold: TRE_scaffold0000160